GACGAACCGUGCGAACGUUGUUCGGAAUCACUGGGCUUAAAGGGCGCGUAGGCGGGUGCUCAAGUCCGUGGUGAAAUCCUCCGGCUCAACCGGAGAACUGCCUCGGAUACUGGGUGCCUCGAGGGUGGUAGGGGUAUGCGGAACUAUCGGUGGAGCGGUGAAAUGCGUUGAUAUCGAUAGGAACUCCGGUGGCGAAGGCGGCAUACUGGACCACCUCUGACGCUGAGGCGCGAAAGCUAGGGUAGCGAACGGG
rnacentral:rRNA from 1 species